GGGUAGCCCACCGAAGGGGGACAUCUCGAAGAGAGGGGGCUAGACCUAGCGAUCCAGUUGUUCGUUUUGGUCGUCGCCUGUGAGGCCAGCAUGCAAGAGUAAGAGGAAGCUAGGAGCAGUCUCAAAAAGGUAAUAGGCUUGAAAGGGAGACAGGCAAAUCGAGGGCUGUCGUUCCUCCACGUAGUUAAAGACCGAGAGAGUUGUCGGUUAAGCGCAUGCAUACGAGGGUUUGCGAACAGUAACAAUAACACUGAAGCGGAAUAAAAAUAAGGUUUCGUGGAAGGUGGCGUUAGGAAGGUAUUAGGCGACGUGCCCGCCUGCCUAAUAACCUAGCCCUAAUUGCUGUGUGUAACGUUUCCAGACCGUUUACCCUGCAACGUAUGGUGCAAAGUGCCGUAUUAAGACCUUUCCCUUAAGGAAAAGAAGAAGAAAAAAAGAAAAAAAAGGGGGAAAAAGAGAACAGGGUAAAGAGAAAAAGAUCGUGCAUAAACCUAAGCGUUUCACUGGAAGUAAAAUGCGAGUUUAUCGCUUCCUUACAGAGAUGGAACCAAGGACAGCAAAUGCUGACGAGGAGAAGAGACGGACGAGCGUUUGCUUGUGGUUAAUACCAAAGGGACGGGAUGAAACAAGGAAGCCAGAAUGCAGCGGCCCCUCGAUAUUGCCAGGAACUGCUACAGGAGGAGGCGUUCUGGCACGGGUAACUAGGGUAAGUAUCGCUAAUGACCGUUAGCAGUUAUUUCGGCCUCCCCGAGGCAGCGCUGAGGACUGAGUAACCCGUUCCUACCCUGUGGCUGCUGUUGCCUGUAUCUGCCUUAGCUUUGCUUUGGCUGUUUCUAUUUUGCGUUGUUACUGCACGCGCGUAUGUGGAAAGGGAAAGACAGAACGAAUGCUCUCUUAGAUUAAUGGCCACGGCUGAGGUUGAAGAGAGUGAAAAACGUGAGCAAGCUGAAGUAAUAGAAUCCAAGGGAGCCAAGUGAAAGCUGUCUUCCUCUGCCAGAAAAAGAGAAAGCCCGUUCCUCCUGGCAAGGAAGGAGCGCCAUUAAUAGCGAUCCGAAUAAUAGAUCGCCAGCGUAUAACGGAAGGUCUGUAUGCAUUACGAGCAGUGCUCUGCGUACAUGUGUCUCCAUGUGUGUGACUUUACGUGCCUGUGAAGCGUCAUACUUCACGAGCUGCGAGACAGCAAAUUAUUAUCUUGGGGGAGUGGUGGUCAAGUGACCAGAGCUACUGAAGAGGAAGGGAGCGAGAGAAGGGUCUGAAGUGUAAAACUGAGAGAUCGAUUUCAGGAAGGCUCAAUCAGCGCAAGCCCCGGGUUAGUUACCUGGCAAUGGUAUUUGGGGAGACGGGAUGACAGUAGAUAGGUUGAAGCCUCAUGGAAUUAAGGCUCCUUCUCACCGGUUCCCGCUUAGAGCAAUUGUAGGAGGAUUUAGUUUCCUCCAGCAGCAUUAAGGUGGCUUUGCCGGUGUCAGCAGACCGCGGUGGAAAGUACUGGGAGGGAGUCGGGAAGGGAGCUGGGACGAGGAACGUGACUCUGCUUUCACUGAACUGGAAGAAGUGGCUAUAAAACCUCCUGCCCUCAAAUUCCCAGGACAAGGAAAGCCUUUUUCGGUAAUGCUUUCCACAUCUGCUGACUGCGUGGGAGCAGCACCGCUAGAAAACGGCAGUAAAGGAAAGCGGGUGCCGGUCGCCUCACCUUUACGUCCCCUUUGGGGGUGGAACAAAAAGUCUCUGGCUGUGAGAAAGACUGUUCAGCAGCGAUGUGGGCUGUAACCGUCUUUGAGACUUUUAGCUUUGAUCGCGCAGGGGCCAUCCAAUCUAUUCAGUUCCCUCUAAAGUAAUCACGUCAGGGAAAUGAAGAGACAGCGGAGUAUCAUCUAUCCGAGUGGCGCAGUGGGCGCUGAUCUUAACGAGCGGGGGCAGGGGGGCAGUUGCUGUGCAAGUGUUACAAGCAGUGGCUCUUCUUGUGCGCGUCUGAAUUGACUGAGGGGCAGAGCACGGUUGCGCCAAAAAUGCGGACGCAGGAGGUUUCCGAGAGGUUGAUCUCUAGCGGCUACUUAGUCUGACUUCCCUUUUGCGGCAAGCCCGACUGUCUUCAUAGCUCUCAGAACAGGGGUUAGGGGAAGCGGUACUUGUGGCUUGCGUUUUCUUGUUUACCUUGCUUGAGUGUGUAUAUUGGAUCCGCUUUUGUGCUUAUAAACAACUUUGGAUUCUUAUGAUUUUCUGCAGAGCUUUGAUCUUUUUCUUUUUUUCUUUUUCUUCUUGGUUUGUUUUUUUUUUUUUUGCUUUGCUCCCUCCCUGAUGGAUUUUACUAUGCCUCCGUCAACGAGCCCUGGCUGGCAAAGUUGCUGUGUCCCAGCGGAGACUCUUAGGCGAGAUGGAGGAGUUCAGAUCCGCAGCCUGCCAGAAGAACGUCGCCCAGGAGGGGUUGCUAGCCUCGAGCUAUAGGCGCUGGCGUUCAGGACCUCGGGGAACGACUGUGUGCUGCCGUGAAGAACUACAGGCUACCACCGCUCUCGGACCUUUGUAAGUUAUCACGCGUCGAGAGCUUCCAGGAGAAUUCAAAUGCCAGCAGAAAGGUUCUCCGCCCGGUCCCGACGAGGAGGCUUCGGCCACAGGAAGGUCGUCAGCGUCCUUACCGGACUCGCGGGAUGCUGUUCUGAGGGCCAGCAACUCGAAGGGAUGCAGCUUGGCCCUUUUUGUUGACUUUGGUGAUGCUGUUUUGAGGAAGCAUGUGCCGAAGCCCAGUUGGGCAGUCGAAGGAGCCUUGUCACAGCUGGGAGCUCUGCGGAGAUGCGCGGCUGGCCAUGGAGAGUGAGCUCUGACUUGCAGCGUGGACACAGCUAAGUCCUGGGCUGCAUCAUAUGUGAGCAGUGCUGGGAGGUGCGAGGUGAUUGUUCCCUAGGUGGUCACUGGUGUCACUGGCUGUGGAUGUUUGCCCAUGGAGCUGAGAGGACCAAAAAUAUUAAUUGUCUGACCCGGAGAUGAAUUAGUGCUUGCAGUGCUUCAGGUAGGUUCAGUGCAAGUGCAGCCUAGUGCAGUCCUGUGGAGUGAUUCUUGCACAUGCUCACAUUUGAAUGGUGGCUAAAACCAAGCCUCUAAACAGCAGCUGUAACGUGAUUCUGGUGCAUGUCUUCCCGUUCUGCUGUGCUUCUAGAGGAAGGGAAAACUUCUUAAGCUGUGGGCAAAACUCCUUGCCUUCUCUUUACUGUUUUCAUGCGUAUGGGUGCUUUGGUGUUUGUUGCUUAAAGCUGAGGGUUUGGAAUUUUUCACUUAAGGUUUAUUGUUUAGUUUGUUGUUGAGGGUCUCUCACUCCGGAGUUACAGUUUAUUCCUUUCUUUUGUGGGGCUCAGUCUUUAUCAGUCAGGGUUUACAGUUUGCUCGUUUAGUGAUCAGGGCGCAGAAUUUAAAAUCCAACCUUAGCCAUAAAUUUUAAAGUCUCGGCAACUAUUAGGGUUCCAAGACCUGCAGUUAGUGUUCAGGGCUUAUGACUUACUGAUAAAGGAAAAGGGCUAAAUCCUUAGAUAAACUGUAAGCCCUGAAGCCUAAGCAGCAGGCUGCAAACCCUUCUUUGGGCUUUGUAACCUUCCCCUGUACCCAGCGUUCAGCUCUGCACACCGACCUGCGCUCUGGAUUUGAUAUGGCGCAGGCCCAUCACACGGAGACUGGCAAUGUGACGGGUGAGCUGAGAGCUGUGGAAGUGUCUUGCAGGGCUCUAGCCUGGGGUAGGGCAGAAGUGCAGACAGGCAAGAUCAGGCAUUUUCCUCUCAUCUCUGAGCUGAAUCCUAUCCCUGAAGGAAAAAGCAGAGGAGUAGGCUGCCAGCUACUCGGACACCUGCCACAUCAAGGGCAGCAGCAGGAGAUGACCCUUCCCUGAUGGAUGGAUGGACGCUGGUGUAGUGAUGACUCUUCAGGCAUCACAGGUAAGGGGAAGCAUGCUGACACUGAGCUCCAUGGCAGACUUGCUUCCAGCUAUUGUUUCUGCGCAGUAAAACAAUAAACAGUUGCUUUAUUCUUUGCA